rnacentral:tRNA from 1 species
GAUCAAUAUUUGUUCUUGUUUUGAAAAUAAGAUUGGAGUGAUUAGACACACUCAUUGAUUU